rnacentral:rRNA from 1 species
UACGGAGGGUGCAAGCGUUAUCCGGAUUUACUGGGUUUAAAGGGUGCGUAGGUGGGUUGGUGAGUCAGUGGUGAAAUACUUUCGCUUAACGAAGGAACUGCCAUUGAUACUACCAGCCUUGAAUACAGUGGAGGUGGCGGAAUGCGUCAUGUAGCGGUGAAAUGCUUAGAUAUGACGCAGAACACCAAUUGCGAAGGCAGCUUGCUACGCUGUUAUUGACACUGAGGCACGAAAGCGUGGGGAUCAAACAGG